rnacentral:rRNA from 1 species
AGAUGGCGACCGGCGCACGGGUGAGUAACACGUAUCCAACCUGCCGAUAACUCGGGGAUAGCCUUUCGAAAGAAAGAUUAAUACCCGAUGGCAUAAUAGAACCACAUGGUUUGAUUAUUAAAGAAUUUCGGUUAUCGAUGGGGAUGCGUUCCAUUAGGCAGUUGGUGGGGUAACGGCCCACCAAACCUUCGAUGGAUAGGGGUUCUGAGAGGAAGGUCCCCCACAUUGGAACUGAGACACGGUCCAA